CGGGGGGCUGCAGUGGGGAAUCUUGCGCAAUGGGCGAAAGCCUGACGCAGCGACGCCGCGUGGAGGAAGAAGGCCUUCGGGUUGUAAACUCCUGUCGGCCGAGGAAGAAGGCCCUUUGGGCUGACGGUACUCGGCAAGGAAGCCCCGGCCAACUCCGUGCCAGCAGCCGCGGUAAGACGGAGGGGGCAAGCGUUGUUCGGAUUUAUUGGGCGUAAAGAGCACGUAGGCGGUCUUUUCAAGUCAGCUGUGAAAGCCUUGGGCUUAACCUAAGGACUGCAUCUGAUACUGAGGGACUUGAGUUCGGUAGAGGGGAUUGGAAUUCCCGAUGUAGCGGUGAAAUGCGCAGAUAUCGGGAGGAACACCAGUGGCGAAGGCGGAUCCCUGGGCCGUAACUGACGCUGAGGUGCGAAAGCUAGGGGAGCAAACAGGAUUAGAUACCCCAGUAGUC
rnacentral:rRNA from 1 species